GACGAACGCUGGCGGCGUGCCUAAUACAUGCAAGUAGGACGCAGUUGCGAACGGGUGAGUAACGCGUAGGUAACUACCUAUUAGAGGGGGAUAACUAUUGGAAACGAUAGCUAAUACCGCAUACUAGUAGAUGGACCUGCGUUGUAUUAGCUAGUAGGUAGGGUAAUGGCCUACCUAGGCAACGAUACAUAGCCGACCUGAUAGGGUGAUCGGCCCCGCUGGGGCGGGGACACGGCCCAGACUCCGACGGGAGGCAGCAGUAGGGAAUCUGCGGCAAGGGGGGGAAACCUGACCGAGCAGCGCCGCGUGAGUGAAGAAGGUUUUCGGAUCGUAAAGCUCUGUUGUUAAGGAAGCGGUACUUGACCAGAAAGGGACGGCUGACUACGUGCGAGCAGCCGCGGUAAUUC
rnacentral:rRNA from 1 species